rnacentral:lncRNA from 12 species
GGCAGUGCUCCCUCAGCCUGGUGUCCGGGCUGUGCUGGGACAGGGGCACCCUAUCCUGCUUGUCUCGGUCUUGCUUCGUGCAGCAGUUAAUGCCUGCUGGAGACAGUUGUUUAAAUUUUCUUUUGUCUAGCCAUCUUAAGUGCAAUUUCGUUGAGGAACAUCGAACAAAGUUUUCUGAAGCGUCUCUUUUAUCAGAAAUACUUUGGAGAUCAGAAACUAGCAGCG